UUGGGCCUUCGUGUUACACCACUGGCUUUCCUGGGUCUCCAGCUGGCACAUGCCAGAUCGUGGGAAUUCUCAGACACCAUAAUCACGUGCUUCAGUCAGGUGUCAGAAACUCAACCCUGCAGCCCUCAAGCCCCAGAGAUGAUGCCCUACACCUCUCAGCUCAACAUGGGGAGAGAAGACACAGGCAAAAGGCAGAGCAACUGUGCUUGUGCACAAAGGCCUCUCUUGUGGACUCUGAACCCCAAGUGAAUUCUUGGAGCAGAGACACCUGGCCUGGAUCCAGUCUGCCAGCACCUAUCAGGCGUCCUCCCUGUGGCAGGAGGGAGAGAGGCAACUGUGAAA